GACAAGUGGUGAUCUGGUGCGAGCUGACGAUUGUCUGAAAUUGGAUAAGCUCUGUCUCUCUAGGCAGUAUUGGUUUGAACGAAAUUUGUUCUCCACUCCCAUAAUUUUCCGAUUAAUGCGAAACCCGAUUCUCAUUCCUUCGGAGGUCUGUUUUGUCGAUGUAUGAUCUGUCAUGGUUCUUUCUUUGCAAGGUGUAAGCACCACAACAGAUCACUAUCCAAUCCAGAUCCGCUUGCUAAUGUCUCCUUCCUAGAAAUGAUCCCUACCUUCUGUUCUCAUCCUUCAAUCUCAUCGGGAGACGUCAUUAUGGGAAGUGUUUGGUUUAGCUCCUCCUCUGAUCCUUUAUCAAACCCACUUUCGGUACAAUUGUUUCACAAGCUGCUUCUGGAUUUUUGUUAUUUGGUGAAUCUGCAGUGGCUUCUUUUCCCCAUGGAGCGAAACUGUUUGUCUUGGGAUGUCAAGGAUGAUGAAUACGACGACACCGGUCAGCUUGUUUCAUAAAACACGGAUGUUUGGGCUUUUUGGAGGACUGAUGAUCCUUUUGCUGCUGUCUUUUUCUCUUGGUUGAGAUGAUGAACUAGUAGUCUUUCAGGCGAUAGGCUGAAAUUUGCUGGUCUUGAUUGGAAUUUUGUUCUUCAGUUUUUUUAUCUUUUGGGGUUGAUUAUUCUGUAGUCCUGAUCCUCUCACAGGUUGGAGUUUUUCUAGACUCAACUAAGUGGUGAUCUGGUGCGAGCUGAUGAUUGUCUGAAAUUGGAUAAGCUCUAUCGUCUCUCAAGGCGGUUAUCGGUUUGAAUGAAAUUUGUUCUUCAGUCCCAUAAUUUUGCGAUUAAUGCGAAACCCGAUUCUCAUUCCUUCGGAGGUCUAUGUUUGGUCGAUGUAUGAUCUGUGAUGGUUCUUUAUUUGCAAGGUGUACGCACCACAACAGAUCAGUAUCCAAUAAGGAUCCACUUGCUGGUGUGUCUCCUGCUAGAAGUAGUCCCUCCCUCGUGUUCUCAUCCUUCAAUCUCAUUGGGAGAUGUCGUUAUAGGAAGUGUUUGGUCUAGCUCCUCCUCUGAUCCUUUAUCAAACUCACUUUCUGUACAAUUGUUUCACGAGCUGCUUCUGGAUUUUUGUUAUUUGGUGAAUCUGCAGUGGCUUCUUUUCUUCAUGGAGUGGAAGCGUUUGUCUGAGGAUGUCAAGGAUGACGACACCGGUCAGCUUGUUUCAUAAAACACGGAUGUUUGGGCUUUUUGGAGGACUGAUAAUCCUUUUGCUGCUUCUUUUUUCUUGGUUGAGAUGAUGAACUAGUAGUCUUUUAGGGGAUGGGCUGACAAUUUGCUGGUCUUUAUUGGAAUUUGUUCUUUGGUUUUUUUUCUCUUUGCAAGUUGAUUAUCAUCUAGUCCUGAUCCUCUCACAGGUCGGAGUUUUGCUAGACUCGACUAAGUGGUGAUCUGGUGCGAGCUGAUGAUUGUCUGAAGUUGGAUAAGCUCUAUCACCUCUGGAGGCGGUUAUCGGUUUGAUUGAAAUUUGUUCUCCAGUCCCAUAAUUUUCCAAUUAAUGCAAAACCCGAUUCUCAUUCCUUCGGAGUUUGGUGUUUUAUUGAUGUAUGACCUGUGAUGGUUCUUUGCAAGGUGUAUGCAUCACAACAGAUUACUAUCUAAUACGGAUCCGCUUGCUGGUGUUUCCUUCCCAGAAAUAGUCCCUUCCUCAUGUUCUCUUCGUGCAUCUAUGAUUGUGCAUGCAUUCCUCAAUCGGCUGACACCCUUACUCUUCAAAGGAGACAUCGUUCCUGAAAACGUACUCCUGGCCUGUCUUCUUUUCUUUUUAUUUCUUGAUUGAUUUUAAAAUCAGUCUGAUUCUGUUUACGCUAUGUUAUUUUCUGAAGGAACGCCUGGCCUCUCUUGGACUCUGCCAUGUUGUGGGCAGUGUUAAGUGGUUUCUUUCUUCUCGGAGUGAUCAUUUUCUCUGAGGAUGAUGUCUGAGAGGACAAUGAAUAUGAUCCAGCUGGUCAGUUGGUUACAUAGAAUAUGACAUUUGGGCUUUUUGGUGGACUAAUGAUCUAUCUUGCACUGUUUGUGGUUGAGUUGAUCAUCUAAAGAAGCCUUUUCUCUUCAGGACAAACGAUGGACUGAAAUUUUGACAACCUUCUAGGCUUCUUUUCCAAAUCCAAAGUUUUACUGGUUUUGACAGCUGGUGAUCUGUUGCGUUUUCUGUGGGGCUGAGUUGAUAAUUGUUCAAAAUUGUAUGAGCUCCUGCUUCCCGGAUUUUAGGCAGUUAUUGGUUUGAAUGGAACUUGUCCUUUACUUCUGUUAUUUCUUUGUUAAUCCGAAAGAUCAGAUCUAGUUCUCUUCCCUUUG